UGAAGGCUGAAAUUCGCCUUCAUGAAGCCGGAAUUGCUAGUAAUGGCAGGUCAGCAUACUGCCGUGAAUACGUUCCCGGGCCUUGUACACACCGCCCGUCACACCAUGAGAGUUGGGAAUACCCGAAGCCUGUGAGCUAACAUUUAUGAGGCAGCAGUCGAAGGUAGAAUCAAUGAUUGGGGUGAAGUCGUAACAAGGUACC
rnacentral:rRNA from 1 species